GAUGAACGCUGGCGGCGUGCCUAAUACAUGCAAGUCGAGCGAUGAAGUUCCUUCGGGAAUGGAUUAGCGGCGGACGGGUGAGUAACACGUGGGUAACCUGCCUCAUAGAGGGGAAUAGCCUUUCGAAAGGAAGAUUAAUACUGCAUAAGAUUGUAGUGUCGCAUGAUACAGCAAUUAAAGGCGUAAUACGCUAUGAGAUGGACCCGCGUCGCAUUAGCUAGUUGGUAAGGUAACGGCUAAGCAAGGCGACGAUGCGUAGCCGACCGAGAGGUUGACCAGCCAGACUGGGACUGAGACACGGCCCAGACUCCUACGGGAGGCAGCAGUGAGGAAUUUUCCGCAAUGGGCGAAAGCCUGACGGAGCGACGCCGCGUGAGGGAUGAAGCUUUUCGGAGCGUAAACUUCUUUUAUGUGGGAAGAUUAUGACGGUACCACAUGAAUAAGCACCGGCUAACUACGUGCCAGCCGCCGCCGUAA
rnacentral:rRNA from 1 species